GCGGCCGUGGAUGACUGGUUACAGUGUUCGCUUUAUAAGCGAAUAAUGCUGGGUUCGAUUCCCAUCUGCUCCC
rfam:Culex pipiens quinquefasciatus supercont3.912 genomic scaffold, whole genome shotgun sequence.